CAUAGGGGAGCUCACGACGGUGGGCUGAGAGGGUGGCCACAUGUCACCGACCCGUACAACCUGAUCCGGGUAAUGCCGGCGGAGGGACAACU
rnacentral:ncRNA from 1 species